CAGCCGCAGUUACUGUGCUAAGGUAGCAUAAUCAUUUGCCUUCUAAUUAAAGACUAGAAUGAAAGGUUAAACGAAUAAAAAAUUUAAUAACUUAAAUAAAACUAAAUUAAAUUUACUGUAAAAAUACAAAAAUAAAGUAAAAAGACGACAAGACCCUAUCGAACUUAACAAUUGUUUAGCUGGGGCAGCAUUAUUAUCAAAAUUACACUUUAAAAAAUAAAAAACUACCUUUUAAAAAAUAAAAAAAGUUACCGUAGGGAUAACAGCGCAAUUUGUUUUUAAAGACCUUAUAAAAAAACAAGAUUACGACCUCGAUGUUGAAUUAAUUUAUCAAAUGAAAGCAAAAUUUUAUUAGAAAGUCUGUUCGACCUUUAAAAAAUUACAUGAUCUG
rnacentral:rRNA from 1 species